rnacentral:rRNA from 1 species
UACGGAGGGUGCAAGCGUUAUCCGGAUUUAUUGGGUUUAAAGGGUGCGUAGGUGGCCUGUUAAGUCAGGGGUGAAAGACGGUAGCUCAACUAUCGCAGUGCCCUUGAUACUGAUGGGCUUGAAUGAACUAGAGGUAGGCGGAAUGUGACAAGUAGCGGUGAAAUGCAUAGAUAUGUCACAGAACACCAAUUGCGAAGGCAGCUUACUAUGGUUUUAUUGACACUGAGGCACGAAAGCGUGGGGAUCAAACAGG